rnacentral:rRNA from 1 species
CAGUAGCCACGGUAAUACAGAGGGUGCAAGCGUUAAUCGGAAUUACUGGGCGUAAAGCGCGCGUAGGUGGUUUGUUAAGUUGGAUGUGAAAGCCCCGGGCUCAACCUGGGAACUGCAUCCAAAACUGGCAAGCUAGAGUACGGUAGAGGGUGGUGGAAUUUCCUGUGUAGCGGUGAAAUGCGUAGAUAUAGGAAGGAACACCAGUGGCGAAGGCGACCACCUGGACUGAUACUGACACUGAGGUGCGAAAGCGUGGGGAGCAAACAGGAUUAGAUACCCCAGUAGUCCCUGUCUCUUAUAA